AGAGCAGUUGGCAUGCUGUGGGAAUCAAACAGAAACUGCAAUCAAGAACUUAGUCCAAACCCGGUAAAUGAAAUGUUCCACUAGUUCAGCAGCCGAGAAAUUUAAUGCUUCAGUUCUUUGUGAUGUUCGUUGCUUUGUUGUAACUGAUGUGUAGUUUGAAUGGCAGGUGACAUUUCAUAAGAUUUAAAUAAGCACCACAUUGAGUCUUCAAGUGGUAAAUCUUCAGAGCACAAAAACUAACAUUUGAAAAUGACAUAAGGACUUCCAGCUGCCAACAACUAAGCUUUUGGAAGAGAAACAAGGACCACAAUAUUCAAAA